GACGAACGCUGGCGGCGUGCCUAAUACAUGCAAGUUGAGCGCUGAAGGUUGGUACUUGUACCAACUGGAUGAGCAGCGAACGGGUGAGUAACGCGUGGGGAAUCUGCCUUUGAGCGGGGGACAACAUUUGGAAACGAAUGCUAAUACCGCAUAAAAACUUUAAACACAAGUUUUAAGUUUGAAAGAUGCAAUUGCAUCACUCAAAGAUGAUCCCGCGUUGUAUUAGCUAGUUGGUGAGGUAAAGGCUCACCAAGGCGAUGAUACAUAGCCGACCUGAGAGGGUGGUCGGCCACAUUGGGACUGGGACACGGCCCCAACUCCUACGGGAGGCAGCAGUAGGGGAUCUUCGGCCAUGGACGAAAGUCUGACCGAGCCACGCCGCGUGAGUGAAGAAGGUUUUCGGAUCGUAAAACUCUGUUGGUAGAGAAGAACGUUGGUGAGAGUGGAAAGCUCAUCAAGUGACGGUAACUACCCAGAAAGGGACGGCUAACUACGUG
rnacentral:rRNA from 1 species